GACGAACGCUGGCGGCGUGCUUAACACAUGCAAGUCGAACGGAAAGGCCUCUUUCGGGGGGUACUCGAGUGGCGAACGGGUGAGUAACACGUGAGUAACCUGCCCUUGACUUUGGGAUAACUUCAGGAAACUGGGGCUAAUACCGGAUAGGAGCUCCUGCUGCAUGGUGGGGGUUGGAAAGUUUCGGCGGUUGGGGAUGGACUCGCGGCUUAUCAGCUUGUUGGUGGGGUAGUGGCUUACCAAGGCUUUGACGGGUAGCCGGCCUGAGAGGGUGACCGGCCACAUUGGGACUGAGAUACGACCCAGACUCCUACGGGAGGCAGCAGUGGGGAAUAUUGCACAAUGGGUGGAAGCCUGAUGCAGCAACGCCGUGUGCGGGAUGACGGCCUUCGGGUUGUAAACCGCUUUCGCUCAUGACGAAGCUUUGUGUGACGGUAGUGGGUAAAGAAGCACCGGCUAACUACGUG
rnacentral:rRNA from 1 species